rnacentral:rRNA from 1 species
UGGUUCACUAGAUCGUACAGUUUACAUGGAUAACUGUGGUAAUUCUAGAGCUAAUACAUGCACCCAGUCCGUUCCCUCGUGGAGCGGAUGCAGUUAUUUGCCCAAAACCAAUCCGGCCUUCGGGUCGGUCAAUUGGUGACUCUGAAUAACCGAAGCGGAGCGCAUGGUCUCGUACCGGCGCCAGAUCUUUCAAGUGUCUGACUUAUCAGCUUGUUGUUAGGUUAUGUUCCUAACAAGGCAUCAACGGGUAACGGAGUGUCAGGGCCCGACACCGGAGAGGGAGCCUGAGAAACGGCUACCACAUCCAAGGAAGGCAGCAGGCGCGCAAAUUACCCACUCCCGGCACGGGGAGGUAGUGACGAAAAAUAACGAUGCGAGAGCUUUAUGCUCCUCGUAAUCGGAAUGGGUACACUUUAAAUCCUUUAACGAGGAUCUAUUGGAGGGCAAGUCUGGUGCCAGCAGCCGCGGUAAUUCCAGCUCCAAUAGCGUAUAUUAAAGUUGCUGCGGUUAAAAAGCUCGUAGUUGGAUCUGGGUAGUCGAUGGACGGUGCGCUUUACGGCGUCUACUGUUCGUUCGGCACCACAUGCCGGCCAUGUCUUGCAUGCUCUUCACUGAGUGUGCUUGGCGACCGGAACGUUUACUUUGAAAAAAUUAGAGUGCUCAAAGCAGGCGUUAAGCCUUGCAUAAUGGUGCAUGGAAUAAUAGAAUAGGACCUCGGUUCUAUUUUGUUGGUUUUCGGAGCUCGAGGUAAUGAUUAAUAGGAACAGACGGGGGCA